UACGGAGGGUGCAAGCGUUAUCCGGAUUCACUGGGUGUAAAGCGCGUGUAGGCGGGAGGCCAAGUCUGUGGUGAAAUCGCUCGGCUUAACUGGGCGGGGUCCAUGGAAACUGGUCACCUGGAGGUCGGUAGAGGCAAGUGGAAUUCCCGGUGUAGUGGUGAAAUGCGUAGAGAUCGGGAGGAACACCAGUGGCGAAGGCGGCUUGCUGGGCCGGACCUGACGCUGAGACGCGAAGGCGUGGGGAGCGAACGGG
rnacentral:rRNA from 1 species